UACAGAGGUCUCAAGCGUUGUUCGGAUUCAUUGGGCGUAAAGGGUGUGUAGGUGGCGCGCUAAGUCGGGUGUGAAAUUUCGGAGCUUAACUCCGAAACUGCAUUCGAUACUGGCGUGCUUGAGGACUGGAGAGGAGACUGGAAUUCAUGGUGUAGCAGUGAAAUGCGUAGAGAUCAUGAGGAAGACCAGUGGCGAAGGCGGGUCUGCUGGACAGUUCCUGACACUGAGACACGAAGGCCAGGGGAGCAAACGGG
rnacentral:rRNA from 1 species